ensembl:piRNA 21ur-10002 ncRNA
UUUGGAUUAAGAGCCGGAUUU